rnacentral:rRNA from 1 species
UACGAGGGGGGCUAAUGUUGUUCGGAAUCACUGGGCGUAAAGGGAGCGUAGGCGGGUGUUUAAGUUAGGUGUUUAAUCCCAGGGCCCAACCCUGGUCAGGCACCUAAAACUGGACAUCUUGAAUAGUGGAGAGGACGAUGGAAUUGGGGUGUAGCGGUGGAAUGCGUAGAGAUCCCCAAGAACACCAGUUGCGAAGGCGGUCGUCUGGACACAUAUUGACGCUGAGGCUCGAAAGCAUGGGAGCAACAGG